CGACCGUCAGCUGAGUUUGAAGCCAGCUGUCUAGCUGUGCGGACGCGUUUUCCCCCGUGCCGAUCCGUUGUGCUAUUCGUAUUAUUAUUCUGUGUUAUAACGUUAUCGUUUGUGUUCUGUGUUGUGCAUUAAAGUUCCUAGUUGCCUUCAAAGAGUGUCCAUUUAUUUCGCGCGACUCGCGAGCGGCCGAUCCUUCGUGCGCGACGUGUUCUUGCGCGUUCUUCGCGUGAUUUUUAUUUUAAUUAAUUUUUGAGUUUCUCCCUCUCUCGAGGGCUUCGACAGUAGCACCGUAUACCAGUUUUUGGCCAGUAUCUUAUAUUCCUUUUGGGAAUUAGGGGCCACUCAAAUUAAAGGAAGAAGAAGCAAGAGUCUGUGUUCCGGCCCUAAAAUGAUGAAAGAGAUAAAUGGCCAGAUAUAUGGUCCAAGAAGUAAGCCAGUUAUUAUGGAUGAGAACUUCAUUUGCAACAAGAACAUUUAUAUAACUGUUGAAGUGCCUGUAGAGAAUCGUUUGUUUUAUCACUUUGUGGAAAUUGAUAAAUUCGGCACAAAAAUUUAAAAAAAAAUGAACAAUCAACGAUUGCUAGGAGAAAUGACUUUUAUGCUUCUAUAAAUAGACUUCACGUAAAGGAUAUUUAUAUUCGUAGACUUCUGAUGCUAUACCCAUGAUAUCCAAGUUGAAUUAUGAUCAUAAAUUUGAUAAGGCAUUAAGAUAUAUAUUUGGGAAAACUUUGAUCUGUUGUAAUCUGGAAGCAGCUACUUUGGCACAAGAUUUUGAUAGCUUGUGUUAUGUUAGAAAGAGAUCAAGUUCCAUCCAAGGAUUCCUUAGCUGGUGGUUAUCUCAACACAUUCAGAUCAUGACUUGAAAUGCAGAAAACUAGAUCGGAAUUAAUGUCUCGAUAUGUAAUCCAUUGGAAUUAAAAAUAAAUAUUUUAAACUUAAAGGAGCUAUAUUUGCAAAAGAAUUACCAGAGAAUUUGAUAUUAUUUUCAUCAUU